rnacentral:rRNA from 2 species
CGAACUCUGGUAUUGAUUGGUGCUUGCAUCAUGAUUUACAUUUGAGUGAGUGGCGAACUGGUGAGUAACACGUGGGAAACCUGCCCAGAAGCGGGGGAUAACACCUGGAAACAGAUGCUAAUACCGCAUAACAACUUGGACCGCAUGGUCCGAGCUUGAAAGAUGGCUUCGGCUAUCACUUUUGGAUGGUCCCGCGGCGUAUUAGCUAGAUGGUGGGGUAACGGCUCACCAUGGCAAUGAUACGUAGCCGACCUGAGAGGGUAAUCGGCCACAUUGGGACUGAGACACGGCCCAAACUCCUACGGGAGGCAGCAGUAGGGAAUCUUCCACAAUGGACGAAAGUCUGAUGGAGCAACGCCGCGUGAGUGAAGAAGGGUUUCGGCUCGUAAAACUCUGUUGUUAAAGAAGAACAUAUCUGAGAGUAACUGUUCAGGUAUUGACGGUAUUUAACCAGAAAGCCACGGCUAACUACGUGCCAGCAGCCGCGGUAAUACGUAGGUGGCAAGCGUUGUCCGGAUUUAUUGGGCGUAAAGCGAGCGCAGGCGGUUUUUUAAGUCUGAUGUGAAAGCCUUCGGCUCAACCGAAGAAGUGCAUCGGAAACUGGGAAACUUGAGUGCAGAAGAGGACAGUGGAACUCCAUGUGUAGCGGUGAAAUGCGUAGAUAUAUGGAAGAACACCAGUGGCGAAGGCGGCUGUCUGGUCUGUAACUGACGCUGAGGCUCGAAAGUAUGGGUAGCAAACAGGAUUAGAUACCCUGGUAGUCCAUACCGUAAACGAUGAAUGCUAAGUGUUGGAGGGUUUCCGCCCUUCAGUGCUGCAGCUAACGCAUUAAGCAUUCCGCCUGGGGAGUACGGCCGCAAGGCUGAAACUCAAAGGAAUUGACGGGGGCCCGCACAAGCGGUGGAGCAUGUGGUUUAAUUCGAAGCUACGCGAAGAACCUUACCAGGUCUUGACAUACUAUGCAAAUCUAAGAGAUUAGACGUUCCCUUCGGGGACAUGGAUACAGGUGGUGCAUGGUUGUCGUCAGCUCGUGUCGUGAGAUGUUGGGUUAAGUCCCGCAACGAGCGCAACCCUUAUUAUCAGUUGCCAGCAUUAAGUUGGGCACUCUGGUGAGACUGCCGGUGACAAACCGGAGGAAGGUGGGGAUGACGUCAAAUCAUCAUGCCCCUUAUGACCUGGGCUACACACGUGCUACAAUGGAUGGUACAACGAGUUGCGAACUCGCGAGAGUAAGCUAAUCUCUUAAAGCCAUUCUCAGUUCGGAUUGUAGGCUGCAACUCGCCUACAUGAAGUCGGAAUCGCUAGUAAUCGCGGAUCAGCAUGCCGCGGUGAAUACGUUCCCGGGCCUUGUACACACCGCCCGUCACACCAUGAGAGUUUGUAACACCCAAAGUCGGUGGGGU